rnacentral:lncRNA from 1 species
CAUAAAAUGUUAUUGCUAAAAUCCCUAUAAUUACCUCCCAAAAUGGAACAGAAUUGAAAAAAGAAGUAAGAAAGAGAGAAGAAGCGAGGGAGGGAGGGAGGAAGUGAGGGAGGGAGGGGAAGGAAGAAGGGAAGGAAGGUUUACAGGUCUACAAUUCUAGCUGUGCGUAGAAAGUGUAGUCAUGAAAUGACUACUCCAAA